rnacentral:rRNA from 1 species
GAUUUUGGGGGGUGCACUGUUCAGCGUAUUUUACGUGUAUUCAGGGCAUUUCCUUACCCGUCGUGGGUUUUGGAUGGUCGAAUUUGGGCCGUCUGGAGCUGAGGGAUCCCCUUUCAUAGGGUGAGGACGAUGGGGCGCUGACGCGAUACGACCCGUCUUGAAACACGGACCAAGGAGUCCAGCAUAUGUGCGAGUCAAAGGGUGUUGAAACCUGAGGGCGCAGUGAAAGCAAUUAAUUUUUUGCAAACUAAGUUGUUGCAGUUUAAGGCGGCAUACGAUCGUUGAUUGUAGGUCCGACCUAGAGCAGAUAUGCUGGGACCCGAAAGAUGGUGAACUAUGCCGGAGUAGGGCGAAGCCAGAGGAAACUCUGGUGGAGGCUCGUAGCGGUGCUGACGUGCAAAUCGCUCGUCUAACUCGGGUAUAGGGGCGAAAGACUAAUCGAACCAUCUAGUAGCUGGUUUCCUCCGAAGUUUCUCUCAGGAUAGCAGGCCGACGAGUAAGUUGUUGUGUGCGGUAAAGCGAAUGAUUAGCGUAUUUGGGGGCAACUAGUCUUCAGACGAUUCUCAAACUUUAAAUGCGCACGGAUGUUGCCGCUUGGGUGGGCGGUAUCGUUAAAAACGUCGGCCUUGUGGGCCACUUUUGGUAAGCAGAACUGGCGAUACGGGAUGAACCGUAAGCGUGGUUAAGGCGCCUAAUUGUCCGCUUAUAGAUCCCAAAAAAGGUGUUGAUUCAUCGAGACAGCAGGACGGUGGCCAUGGAAGUCGGAAUCCGCUAAGGAGUGUGUAACAACUCACCUGCCGAAUGAAUUAGCCCUGAAAAUGGAUGGCGCUUAAGCGGGCAGCGGACACCACGCCGUCUGAAUAAAGUGGAUAUCAGAUGAGUAGGAGGACGUGGCGGUCGUAUCGAAGCGUACAUGCAAAUGUGCGUGGAACGGCCGCUAGUGCAGAUCUUGGUGGUAGUAGCAAAUAUUCAAACGUGAUCCUUGAAGGGCGAAGUGGGGAAGGGUUCCACGCGAACAUUGAUUGAACGUGGGUGAGUCGUUCCUAAGCCAAGUGGCAAUAGCUAAUUAUGUGGCGAAAGGGAAGCAGGUUGAUAUUCCUGCACACGGAUGUGGAUGCGGUGACGCACUACUGAGGCGAUGACGUCGGCGAUGGCUCUGGGCAGAGUUUUCUUUUCUGUUUGACCGAACCACGCACGCUGUGUGGAAUCCGCUUGUCGGGAGAAACACGCGUGUUUGGGCAAAGCGCCGGGAUUUUUCCGGCGUCCAGAUCGCCAUCGACGGCCCUUGAAAAAUCGUCUGCUGGCCAUUCCCAGAGUCGU